rnacentral:rRNA from 1 species
GCAUGCUUAACACAUGCAAGUCGCACGGCUGGGGUAACUCAGCAGUGGCGGACGGGUGAGUAACGCGUGGGGAUCUGUCUCCGGGUGGGGGAUAACCGUGGGAAACUACGGCUAAUACCGCAUGAUGCCCGAGGGCCAAAGGUGUAAAUCGCCUGGAGAGGAACCCGCGUACGAUUAGCUUGUUGGCGGGGUAAAGGCCCACCAAGGCGACGAUCGUUAGCUGGUCUGAGAGGAUGAUCAGCCACACUGGGACUGAGACACGGCCCACACUCCUACGGGAGGCAGCAGUGGGGAAUAUUGGACAAUGGGCGCAAGCCUGAUCCAGCAAUGCCGCGUGAGUGAAGAAGGUCUUCGGAUUGUAAAGCUCUUUCGACGGGGACGAUGAUGACGGUACCCGUAGAANAAGCCCCGGCUAACUUCGUGCCAGCAGCCGCGGUAAUACNAAGGGGGCUAGCGUUGCUC